rnacentral:rRNA from 1 species
AACGAACGCUGGCGGCAGGCUUAACACAUGCAAGUCGAACGCUCGUAGCAAUACGGGAGUGGCGGACGGGUGAGUAACGCGUGGGAACGUGCCCUGAGGUACGGAAUAACUGAGGGAAACUUCAGCUAAUACCGUAUGAGCCCCGAGAGGGGGAAAGAUUUAUCGCCUUGGGAGCGGCCCGCGUCGGAUUAGCUAGUUGGUGGGUAACGGCCUACCAAGGCUUCGAUCCGUAGCUGGUCUGAGAGGACGAUCAGCCACACUGGGACUGAGACACGGCCCAGACUCCUACGGGAGGCAGCAGUGGGGAAUCUUGCGCAAUGGGGGCAACCCUGACGCAGCCAUGCCGCGUGAACGAUGAAGGCCUUAGGGUUGUAAAGUUCUUUUACCCGUGACGAUGAUGACGGUAACGGGGAAUAAGCUCCGGCUAACUUCGUGCCAGCAGCCGCGGUAAU